UGCGUAGGUGGCGGGGUAAGUCUGGUGUGAAAGCUCCGAGCUCAACUCGGAAAAGCAUUGGAAACUAUCCCGCUUGAGGGUCGGAGGGGAGACUGGAAUUCUCGGUGUAGCAGUGAAAUGCGUAGAUAUCGAGAGGAACACCAGUGGCGAAGGCGAGUCUCUGGACGACUCCUGACACUGAGGCACGAAAGCUAGGGGAGCAAACAGGAUUAGAUACCCUGGUAGUCCUAGCUGUAAACGGUGCACAUUUGCUGUAAGAGGAAUCGACCCCUUUUGUGGCGAAGCUAACGCGUUAAAUGUGCCGCCUGGGGAGUACGGUCGCAAGAUUAAA
rnacentral:rRNA from 1 species